rnacentral:rRNA from 1 species
AUACGGAGGGUGCAAGCGUUACUCGGAAUCACUGGGCGUAAAGCGCGCGCAGGCGGCCAUUUAAGUUGGAUGUGAAAGCCUACGGCUCAACCGUAGAACUGCAUCCAAAACUAUUUGGCUAGAGUGUGGGAGAGGAAGAUGGAAUUAGUUGUGUAGGGGUAAAAUCCGUAGAGAUAACUAGGAAUACCAAAAGCGAAGGCAAUCUUCUGGAACAUUACUGACGCUGAGGCGCGAAAGCGUGGGGAGCAAACAGGAGUAGAUACCCUAGUAGUCC